UAGGGAAUCUUCCGCAAUGGACGCAAGUCUGACGGAGCAACGCCGCGUGAGUGAAGAAGGAUUUCGGUUCGUAAAACUCUGUUGUUAGAGAAGAACAGCGCAUAGAGUAACUGUUAUGCGUGUGACGGUAUCUAACCAGAAAGCCACGGCUAACUACGUGCCAGCAGCCGCGGUAAUACGUAGGUGGCAAGCGUUGUCCGGAUUUAUUGGGCGUAAAGCGAGCGCAGGCGGUCAAUUAAGUCUGAUGUGAAAGCCCCCGGCUCAACCGGGGAGGGUCAAUGGAAACUGGUUGACUUGAGUGCAGGAGAGGAGAGUGGAAUUCCAUGUGUAGCGGUGAAAUGCGUAGAUAUAUGGAGGAACACCAGUGGCGAGGGCGACUCUCUGGUCUGUAAAUGACGCUGAGGCUCGAAAGCGUUGGUAGCAAACAGG
rnacentral:rRNA from 1 species